UAGUCUGGGAUACCACUUGGAAACAAGGUGCUAAUACCGGAUAAGAAAGCGGAUCGCAUGAUCAGCUUUUAAAAGGCGGCGUAAGCUGUCGCUAUGGGAUGGCCCCGCGGUGCAUUAGCUAGUUGGUAAGGUAAAGGCUUACCAAGGCGAUGAUGCAUAGCCGAGUUGAGAGACUGAUCGGCCACAUUGGGACUGAGACACGGCCCAAACUCCUACGGGAGGCAGCAGC
rnacentral:rRNA from 1 species